rnacentral:rRNA from 1 species
UUCCGGUUGAUCCUGCCGGACCCGACUGCUAUUUGGGUGAGAAUAAGCCAUGCGAGUUGAAUGGAAUACCUAAAUUUUCCAUGGCAAACUGCUCAGUAACACAUGAUCAACUUACCCUAUAGAGAAAAAUAACCUCGGGAAACUGAGGAUAAUGUUUCAUAGUUGAAAAGGCUUGGAAAAGUUUUUCAAUCAAAAGGAUAAAAAAAAUGGUUUUUAUCCGCUAUAGGAUAGGAUCGUGGUCGAUUAUGGUUGUUGGUGAGGUAAUGGCUCACCAAGCCGAUAAUCGAUAGGGGCCGUGAGAGCGGGAGCCCCGAGAUGGGUACUGAGACAACGACCCAGGCCUUACGAGGCGCAGCAGGCGCGAAACCUCCGCAAUACACGAAAGUGUGACGGGGUUACCCAAAGUGUUCAGUUUUGAACUGUGGUAGGUGAGUAAUGUCCCCUACUAGAAAGGAGAGGGCAAGGCUGGUGCCAGCCGCCGCGGUAAAACCAGCUCUUCAAGUGGUCGGGAUAAUUAUUGGGCUUAAAGUGUCCGUAGCCGGUUUAGUAAGUUCCUGGUAAAAUCGGGUAGCUUAACUAUCUGUAUGCUAGGAAUACUGCUAAACUAGAGGGCGGGAGAGGUCUGAGGUACUACAGGGGUAGGGGUGAAAUCUUAUAAUCCUUGUAGGACCACCAGUGGCGAAGGCGUCAGACUGGAACGUGCCUGACGGUGAGGGACGAAAGCCAGGGGAGCGAACCGGAUUAGAUACCCGGGUAGUCCUGGCCGUAAACGAUGC